UACGUAGGGCGCAAGCGUUAUCCGGAAUUAUUGGGCGUAAAGAGCUCGUAGGCGGUGUGUCGCGUCGGCCGUGAAAACCUGGGGCUUAACUCUGGGCGUGCGGUCGAUACGGGCAUCACUAGAGUUCGGCAGGGGAGACUGGAGUUCCUGGUGUAGCGGUGAAAUGCGCAGAUAUCAGGAGGAACACCGGUGGCGAAGGCGGGUCUCUGGGCCGAUACUGACGCUGAGGAGCGAAAGCAUGGGUAGCGAACAGG
rnacentral:rRNA from 1 species